rnacentral:rRNA from 1 species
CCUACGGGAGGCAGCAGUGGGGGAUAUUGCACAAUGGGGGAAACCCUGAUGCAGCGACGCCGCGUGAGUGAAGAAGUAUUUCGGUAUGUAAAGCUCUAUCAGCAGGGAAGAAAAUGACAGUAACUGACCAAGAAGCCCCGGCUAACUACGUGCCAGCAGCCGCGGUAAGACGUCGGGGGCAAGCGUUAUCCGGAUUUACUGGGUGGAAAGGGAGCGUAGACGGUUAUGUAAGUCUGGAGUGAAAGCCGGGGGCCCAACCCCGGGACUGCUUUGGAAACUGGGUAACUGGAGUACAGGAGGGGCAGGCGGAAUUCCAGGUGUAGCGGUGAAAUGCGUAGAUAUCAGGAGGAACACCGGCGGCGAAGGCGGCCGGCUGGACUGAAGCUGACGUUGAGGCUCGAAAGCGUGGGGAGCAAACAGGAUUAGAUACCCUGGUAGUC